CUAAGAUUACAAUUUUUCAUGCAAUAGAGUUGAACUAGCAAAAUAAAAAAAUAAAAAAUAAAAAACUCAACCAUACAAAUUUGGAGUACACUGCUAUACAAUCUCUAAUUCCUCUCUCUAGCAAAUCGUGUUCGGAGUACACGAUCAACUAAUUUCCGUAUAGACUACUAAAUGCAACCACAAUUAAGAAAAGUUUACAAAACUACAAGCUGUACACAAAAGAUAAAACUAAAAUUUAAAUGGAAUGUUAAAGCAUAAGAGAUCAAAUAUUAAUUGAAGUUCAG
rnacentral:lncRNA from 1 species